rnacentral:rRNA from 1 species
CCUACGGGCGGCAGCAGUGGGGGAUAUUGCACAAUGGGGGAAACCCUGAUGCAGCGACGCCGCGUGGGUGAAGAAGCGCCUCGGCGCGUAAAGCCCUGUCAGCAGGGAAGAAAAUGACGGUACCUGAAGCAGAAGCCCCGGCCAACUACGAGCCAGCAGCCGCGGUAAUACGUAGGGGGCCAGCGUUAGCCGGAGUUACUGGGUGUAAAGGGGGCGCAGACGGCGAUGCAAGCCAGGAGUGAAAGGCCGGGGACCAACCCCGGGACUGCUCUUGGAACUGCGUGGCUAGAGUGCAGGAGGGGCAGGCGGAAUUCCUGGUGUAGCGGUGAAAUGCGUAGAUAUCAGGAGGAACACCGGUGGCGAAGGCGGCCUGCUGGACUGCAACUGACGUUGAGGCCCGAAAGCGUGGGGAGCAAACAGGAUUAGAUACCCCGGUAGUC